ACAGUUUGCAGCCGAAACAGUCCUCCGCCAGCCGCUGUUUUCUUCUUCUGGGCAAUUUGACGCGGAGCUUCAAAAACCACAGCGCUACUAGUGACUGACAUAUCAGCUAUAGCAAGCAUGGAUGAGAGCUUUGCCAUCUAUAUUCCCACCUAUGCUGACAGAAUUGCCACCCAGAGAUUUUGCUUCGAGUUCCAAGGAAAAGGUGAAAGAGAUGUCCUUCAACAGACGUGGCUUGAAAAACUCUUUACAUGCAAAUCUUCAUAGAAAAAGUCCAAUUUGAUCUAAAAUGUUUUUGGUUUCAGGUAAUAUCACUAUGUAAUAUAUUUAAAAAGAAAGCUUACCAUUUGACUCAAAAUGUGUUUUCAAUAUGUUUUCAAGAACAUAUGGAAGUGAGCCACAAUAGAGUCAGUUAGCUUUUGUUUUUGUUGACAAAGAUAUAGAGCAAAAAUACUGAUUAAAAAGAUUACUCCAACAACA